rfam:Thermosipho africanus TCF52B, complete genome.
GGGCUCGUAGCUCAGUUGGCAGAGCGUCCGGCUCAUAACCGGAUGGUCGGGGGUUCGAUUCCUCCCGAGCCCA